rnacentral:rRNA from 1 species
AGAGUUUGAUCCUGGCUCAGGAUGAACGCUAGCUACAGGCUUAACACAUGCAAGUCGAGGGGCAGCGAUGAAGAAAGCUUGCUUUCUUCAGGCGGCGACCGGCGCACGGGUGAGUAACGCGUAUCGAACCUGCCUCAUACUCGGGAAUAGCCUUGCGAAAGUAAGAUUAAUGCCCGAUGUUAUUAGGAUAUCACAUGAUGUUUUAAUUAAAGAUUUAUCGGUAUGAGAUGGCGAUGCGUCCCAUUAGCUUGUUGGCGGGGUAACGGCCCACCAAGGCAUCGAUGGGUAGGGGUUCUGAGAGGAAGGUCCCCCACAUUGGAACUGAGACACGGUCCAAACUCCUACGGGAGGCAGCAGUGAGGAAUAUUGGUCAAUGGACGCAAGUCUGAACCAGCCAAGUAGCGUGCAGGAUGACGGCCCUCUGGGUUGUAAACUGCUUUUAGUUGGGAAUAAAGUGCAUCACGUGUGAUGUUUUGUAUGUACCAUCAGAAAAAGGACCGGCUAAUUCCGUGCCAGCAGCCGCGGUAAUACGGAAGGUCCAGGCGUUAUCCGGAUUUAUUGGGUUUAAAGGGAGCGCAGGCGGACCUUUAAGUCAGCUGUGAAAUACGGCGGCUCAACCGUCGAACUGCAGUUGAUACUGGAGGUCUUGAGUGCACACAGGGAUACUGGAAUUCAUGGUGUAGCGGUGAAAUGCUCAGAUAUCAUGAAGAACUCCAAUCGCGAAGGCAGGUAUCCGGGGUGCAACUGACGCUGAGGCUCGAAAGUGCGGGUAUCAAACAGGAUUAGAUACCCUGGUAGUCCGCACAGUAAACGAUGAAUACUCGCGAUUUGCGAUACACAGUAAGUCGCCAAGCGAAAGCGUUAAGUAUUCCACCUGGGGAGUACGCCGGCAACGGUGAAACUCAAAGGAAUUGACGGGGGCCCG